UGUAGUUCUCUUUCCUGAAUGAACAGCCACGAGCAGAACGCAGUUCUUCUCCCUCACAGAGAAACUGAGAAACUUCCUCAUGUUUCUCUGCAGGAUGAAGGUAGGAGCAGAGAGAGGACUUCAUGUUUUCACUGAGGUGUGCAGAUGCGUGGCUGUGAUUGAUGAAGAUGUGGAGCUUCUGUCAAUCCUCCGUCUGCUGAUCAGGAGAUGCUGCAGAAGUCGUCCUGAGAAAAGCACCUGAUCAGGAGAUGCUGCAGAAGUCGUGCUGCGGUCCUGAAAACAAAGCCUGAUCAGGAGAUGUGGAGCUUCUGUCAAUCCUCCGUCUGCUGAUCAGGAGAUGCUGCAGAAGUCCUGCUGCGGUCCUGAAAACAACGCCUGAUCAGGAGAUGCUGCAGAAGUCGUCCUGAGAAAAGCACCUGAUCAGGAGAUGCUGCAGAAGUCGUGCUGCGGUCCUGAAAACAAAGCCUGAUCAGGAGAUGUGGAGCUUCUGUCAAUCCUCCGUCUGCUGAUCAGGAGAUGCUGCAGAAGUCGUCCUGAGAAAAGCACCUGAUCAGGAGAUGCUGAUCAGAAGAUGUUAAUGACCGCUCCGUGUGGGUGCGCUGCAUCACCCCCAGAGGGCAGCGUUUCCUGAGAGAUCCAAGUCCUCUCCGAAGCCAUUGGACAUUUGCUUAACAGUUCUUUUGUGUUUCUGUUAAUAAAGAUUGUCUUAUCCCUUA